UUUCAGAGAGCAAACUGUUCGAUAGAUAUAGAAGAAAUGUGAUCAACCAACAAAACAAGAAUGAUGAGUGUCGAGCAAUGUGCUGUAAUCUUCCGUACAAAAUAUCUGGAAAACUGCAAAGGUGUUUAAAUCUCACACAGAAGGAGCUAAAGCUUGGAUGAAUAUUGAGGACAAUAAGAAAGGAAUUGGCUCAAGAAGUGGCAUUCCUGCCUCAAGCAACUGCAGGAAAUGAAAGAAUCCUGCUCCCAACGUACUCUAAUACCACGACUCCUCUAAUGCUGGGGCUGAGAGAUGUCCCAGAGCACCCUGGGCUAUGCUUUACGAUACAACAACAUGGUACCUGCCAUCUGAAGAUCUCAAAACAUGUUACAAGUAUCAAUUAAUGAACCUUUAUUGCAUUCCCCGAGGUAAGUAACAUGUAUUACUAUCCUCAUUUUGUAGGUUGGGAAACAGAAGCACGGAUUGUUAAAUGGCUCACUUGAGGUCACACAGAAAGUUUGAGGCAGAACUGGGUACAGAACCCACAUCUGCUGACUUCCAAUGCUACUCUUUAACUGCCAAUCUGUCCUCAAGAUCUGAUUUGUGACGUUUGGAUAUGGAAUCUACUCUAACUUUGAAUUUACCCAGAGAUUAUUUAGCUGGGGUGUUCUAAUUUAGGCCCACUUUUAGUUUCCAUAUAAAUGUAAGGGCCAGAUCCAUAGCAGGUCUAAACUGCUGUAGCUCCGUUGACUUGCAGACCAGGAUCUAACCCUUCAAAUCCAAUCUGCAGCUCUUACGCAUACAAAUAAAGUAUUGUCCUUUCUCUCAUGAGGAGUCCUAAUGACUUCAGUGGAAUUACUCUUCUCUUGUAAAGCUUAUUGCAUUGCCCAAUUAGUAGGGAGAAUCCCCUCACUUAUAAAUCUAAUUAGUUAUUUCUCAAUUCUGGGCACAAACUACACAUUUCCCACCUGUCAUUCUCUGAAAGAUUUGUAUUAAUACAGUUUUUGUGGCAAGUCUUUCUUAAUUUUUUAAUACAAUAUUUCUAAUAUGCUGUUAGAGAGAGGACACAAUAGGUUAUUAAUAUACUACUCUUGGAUCAUGAGAGUUCAUCUGGUUAAAUCUCAAUUUCUGCCUUCUCAAACUCAUUGGGAGAUGAGGAUUAACCUAUAUCGGCAUCAGUGAUACACACACAGAUGAUUCAUCUUUAGCUAUUCAAUAAUCUUCAAUAAAUGAUAAAUGCACUUAUAAUCAUAGAGAAGCUGGUACCCUUCCAAUCAAACACUUUCCCAUAGGGAUAAAAAGAUGCAUUACUGCAGGAUGUCAGUUCUUAUUUUAUUUGUAUUAAAGCCAAUGGGAAUAUUGCACUUUUCAAAAUAAGUUGUCAAUAUUUUGAAAAAAAUGGAAUUUUGUUGUUGUUUUUUUUCAAACCAGGUCUAAUGUUUAUAUAUUAAAUGUACUGAGAUUGUUAUUA